rnacentral:tRNA from 1 species
GAGUGUAGCUCAAUGGUAGAGCAUCUGCCUUCCAAGCUGAUGACGCGGGUUCGAUUCCCGUCACUC